CAAUAGCGCAUAUUAAAGUUGUUGCAGUUAAAAAGCUCGUAGUUGGAUUUCUGAUCGAGACAUCAGGUCGGGUCCGAGAGGAUCAUGUACUUUGAUUUUGUUUUGAUCAUCCUUGGGGAGAGCAUUUCUGGCAUUCAGUUGUCGGGAUUGGGAUCCUCAUCGUUUACUGUGAAAAAAUUAGAGUGUUCAAAGCAGGCCUCGGCCUCUGAAUACAUUAGCAUGGAAUAAUAAGAUAGGACUUUGGUGGUCUAUUUUGUUGGUUUGCACGCCAAAGUAAUGAUUAAUAGGGAUAGUUGGGGGUAUUCGUAUUCAAUUGUCAGAGGUGAAAUUCUUGGAUUUAUGGAAGACGAACUACUGCGAAAGCAUUUACCAAGGAUGUUUUCAUUAA
rnacentral:rRNA from 1 species